CAUGAUCAUACCUGUUGCUGUUCUUAUUAUUGGUCUCUUGGUGAUUUCUGCUUUUGCCUUCCUUUUUCGCUUUUCACUAUACACGGCUAUGAUCAGAAAGAUGAUUAAAGCCACACUCAGGAAAACAGAUAAGACUGGGGGCCAAGUGAACGCGGUGUGAUCGGAUUUGGAUUCUGAAAGACAUUAUGUAGUUCCUGGGAAAGCGUAGAAGACAAAUACUCGCAUUCAACUGAAGGAGUGGAAAGAAAUGACUUACCGGGUUGUUUGAGGCCACUGCUUGAAAUGUUAACACACAGAUUAUCAGUGAAGGCAUCGCCUUUGAUCACAAUUGUUUGAUAUGGAUUGGGACACCUUGAAAAAUACAAUACAUCCAUAUUGAACAUUGACCUCUGUCCCUCUGCAGCAUGCUGCUUAGAGCGCCCUUGGCCAGCAGUAGAACGAGGAUGGUGCUCACCAACAUGGUCAUUGGUAGCACUGAAGAUCACACUACCAAAAGAUGGGCAGUCGAGCGUGUGGUGGGAAAUAUCGCGUGUGGACCCCUCAGUCUCAUUUGUGGACUUAAUGCUACGGCGGGCAGACAGAGUGACGAGUGCCAGAGCAAAUGAACGAGAGAAAAAGAUGGAGAGGGAUGAAGUGGUGGAGAUUUGAGGGCUAUUGCAGGCUUACCGGUUCCCCCAGUGUCCUGGGACUACCUCCUCCUUCAGUCUAACGUUUGCCCAGCAGAAACAGAGGGAACAACACAAUUACAUACACCUUCCCUAUGACCGAAUGUAGUGUACAUGCACUCCGACACAAUUAUUGGGGAACGGCGCCAUGUGGUGAAAAUAAAAAAAUCUAAUAAAAAACAAUGAAUGUUGUGAAGAUAAGCCUUUUAACUCAUUCUCUACAAAGGACAUAUAAAAUGUUGUUUAUGAUAUUCAACUGCUCAUAACUAAAGAAUGAAAAAAAUUGGAAACAAACGUUUUUGUAUAUGAAAUGGGAAUCUCAUCUUUUUGUAAAUUGUGUGUUCAUGUAGUCAUAGAAAAAAAUAUUUUGUAGCACUUGAAAGAUGUGGAUGUCUUGUGACAUGAUGUUUAGUAGUAAAUGAGUUAAAAAAAAUUCACAUACGUGACAAAUGCUUGGGUGGAAAAGAAAUUAAAAGAUAUUCUAAACAAAAAGCAAGACGGCUGAUGUUUCAUGGCUAUAUCUAGAGCUUGUCACACGUGAAGCCUUCAUAGACAACAUGAAUAAUGAAUAUACAGGUGGCCCUCGGGUUACGAAGGACCCGACUUUACAAUCACUGAGUCUCGUCGUUUAUUUAUUUAUCUAAUUUUGACUUCUGUUUUGUGAUGCAUGCUUUUAUUUUGGUGCAUGAAGCGUAAAACAGGACGCGAGCGUAUGUAGACGCUCCCACCCCACACACACACACACACACACACACACACCUACACACACACACAGACAGAGAAGCCAGAGUGACAGAGGUGACAGCCUGCGUGCACAUUUAUUGCUUCUGAAGCAUCCGGAGGCGACGGCUGUAUAUAACCCCUUUUGUACUCUUUACUGUGCGUUUACAAUGGUGGUUGAAUACUUGGGGCAAAUUUAUAUGAUUGUUUUCGAUGACGUGCAGACGCUUAUACAUGAAAUGUGAUACAUGCUAAUCGUUUGUUAUGGUGGUAUCAGCAGCUAAUUGUAAACGCAAAUCUGAAUUGCUGUUAUUGAAGAUUAGAACUGAUUUGAUAUCAUUUUAAUUUAGUUUCUUUCUGCAAGUGUUGAUGUCAUGAGCAGCUGAAUAGUCAGCAAACCACGCAGAUGUUUGACAGUCAUUUCAGAGCUUAGCUUGCUGUCUAGUUGGACUUAGCUCCAACUUCUUGGCGAGGACAGUACAAUUAGCUAUAAAUAACUAUAAAUACUGUUUUUGGAUAGUUUUUUUUUUAAAUUUAGAUGGUGUCUUGAGGUAUUUAAAGGGUUAAUUCCGACUUACGCAGAAAUCAGGGUUACAUCGA